rnacentral:rRNA from 1 species
GUGGGGAAUCUUCCGCAAUGGACGAAAGUCUGAUGGAGCAACGCCGCGUGAGUGAAGAAGGGUUUCGGCUCGUAAAGCUCUGUUGUCGGGGACGAAUGUGCAGUAUUUGAAUAAAGUAGUGCAAUGACGGUACCUGACGAGGAAGCCACGGCUAACUACGUGCCAGCAGCCGCGGUAAUACGUAGGUGGCAAGCGUUGUCCGGAAUUAUUGGGCGUAAAGGGAGCGCAGGCGGGAAGGUAAGUCGGUCUUAAAAGUGCGGGGCUCAACCCCGUGAUGGGAUCGAAACUAUCUUUUUUGAGUGCAGGAGAGGAAAGUGGAAUUCCUAGUGUAGCGGUGAAAUGCGUAGAUAUUAGGAGGAACACCAGUGGCGAAGGCGACUUUCUGGACUGUAACUGACGCUGAGGCUCGAAAGCCAGGGGAGCGAACGGGAUUAGAAACCCCAGUAGUCC